rnacentral:rRNA from 1 species
AGCGAAUAGAUACCCCGGUAGUCCUAGCCGUAAACGAUGGAUACUAGGUGUAAGUGGUAUCGACCCCACUUGUGCCGCAGCUAAACGCAUUAAGUAUCCCGCCUGGGGAGUACGGCCGCAAGGCUGAAACUCGAAGGAAUUGACGGGGGCCCGCACAAGCGGUGGAGCAUGUGGUUUAAUUCGUUACUAACCGAAGAACCUUACCCAGGCUUGACAUCCCCGGACAGCUUAUGAAAGUAAGCCUUCUCCCUCACAAGGGGAGACUGGGUGACAGGUGUUGCAUGGCUGUCGUCAGCUCGUGUCGUGAGAUGUUGGGUUAAGUCCCGCAACGAGCGCAACCCUCAUCGCAUGUUGCCAGCGUAAAGCCGGGUCACUCUUGCGAAACUGCCCGUGUAAG